ensembl:lncRNA
AAAUCCUGAAAACACCUAUUACAGGGUCCUAAUGCUCCACCGCAUAUAUCUACACACGCAUUUCUGCCCUGUAAACGGGACAAGGCUGCACAGUGCACGAGUCUAAUGACUUGCGAAACUAAAAGGACCUGAGCCCUAGGACCAUGCCCCAGGACUACCUGACAUGAUGAGUCCUUGCUGUCCCCAGUCCACCUGGCCAUGCUGCUGCUCCAGUUUCAACUGUUCUGCCUUAUUAUUAUUCAACCAUGCAGGUCAUUUAUGAACAUUUGAACAUCUUGGCCAUGUUCUGUUAUAAUCUCCACCCGGCACAGCCAGAAGAGGACUGGCCACCCCACAUAUGCUCUCUCUAAUUCUCUCUUUCUUUCUCUCUCUCAGAGGACCUGAGCCCUAGGACCAUGCCCCAGGACUACCUGACAUGAUGAGUCCUUGCUGUCCCCAGUCCACCUGGCCAUGCUGCUGCUCCAGUUUCAACUGUUCUGCCUUAUUAUUAUUCGACCAUGCUGGUCAUUUAUGAACAUUUGAACAUCUUGGCCAUGUUCUGUUAUAAUCUCCACCUGGCACAGCCAGAAGAGGACUGGCCACCCCACAUAGCCUGGUUCCUCUCUAGGUUUCUUCCUAGGUUUUGGCCUUUCUAGGGAGUUUUUCCUAGCCACCGUGCUUCUACACCUGCAUUGCUUGCUGUUUGGGGUUUUAGGCUGGGUUUCUGUACAGCACUUUGAGAUAUCAGCUGAUGUACGAAGGGCUAUAUAAAUAAAUGUGAUUUGAUUUGAUUUGAAAUGGGUCUUCCAAAUUAACAAUGACCCCAAGCACACUUCCAAAGUUGUGGUAAAAUAUUGGAAUAUUUCUAUUCUGUACAGGUCUCCUUUUUUUCACUCUGUCAAUUAGGUUAGUAUUUUGGAGUAACUACAAUGUUGUUGAUCCAUCCUUAGUUUUCUCUUAUCACAGCUGUUAAACUCUGUAACUGUUUUAAAGUCACCAUUGGCCUCAUGGUGAAACCCUUGAGUGGUUUCCAAGUGUAAUUAAUAACUUCAC